CCUGUGAAGAAUAAACAGUCACUGCUUCCUCACUAUAUGUGCUGUUUUAUAAUGAUAUUCCCCUGGGCCCCACUCCCCCAUGUUUUGGCUUGAUGGCUCCCAGUUUGCAAACUGCCUGUUUGGUGCGUGCAUGAUUGACUUCUACUAAUGACUACUUUGGUGAUUCAUUGGUAUUGCUUCUGUUAUUUCUGAACUUUGACAUUUUGUGGUGUGAGAAGUGGAAUUCAAAGAAGACCCCGAUGACUGAGGCCCGUGAGCGAACAGGUGCUUGUACCCACAGAGCCCAUUGAGCUCCCUGCUGUCUUGUUGCCCAUGGGAUUUGAGGAAAUGCCUCUCGUUAAAUCACCUGAUUGCUCACAUCACGUUGAAGCCUAACUGAGAUGGAAGCUUGCCUGACCCUCCUGAAAGAAAAGGUCCUCAGGUCGUUCAUCCUGUCCUGAGUAGUCAUGAGGAUAUGUGUUUGCUAACACAUCGUGUUUGCCUACAUAAAUAACUUUAAAAAAAAUUAUAACCUGUUUGAGUUAUUUAAUUGGUUUAAUCUUGGCUCCUGGGGAAUCUCUGCUCUGGGGGAAUUUCUCAGUCCUUGGCUCAUGUUCUCCUUAUAGGCAUCAUGUUAACCUCUCUAGUGUGUUGCAUACUCUUGAGGGUUUUAAAUGCCCGGCGGCAGCCACUUGAGUGCCAAAUGGUAUCCAUCAGUCUCAGAGAACUGGAUGAAAUCAACAAUAACCACAAAGGAUGAAGACAGUCGCCUGACAGCUCAACUCAGGCAGUGAUGAAAAACACUGGCUUUCUCUAACAGAGCUUCCAGUCCAGCGAGGCCCCCAAAACCUCUCUCGGCAUGGGCCAUCCCAGCUCCUAAAUGCUCUCCGCUACAUAUGACCCUUGGCUUCCAAGAAUGAUUGCCAGAAGAUUCCAGUUAUGGUGCACAAACUGGGAGAGGUAUCGCGUUAUGCCGUUAUCAUAUCAAAGACACUUUUGUUGGCUGAGCCAGUGUCUCCUGGCAGAGAUCACAAAAUCAGAGACAGUGAGAUGAGAGGACGGACGGAUAAGGCCAGCUCCCUUCAGAAGCUUGUGCUCAGUUCUGGGGGAUCCCACAAGGGGAAGAUUGGGGGAGUUUUGUGGGUUUUUUUUUUUCAUUUCUUUUUGUAUUUGUAAUUUUAAAAAUAUUGAGGGGGGCGCCUGGGUGG